rnacentral:tRNA from 1 species
GUUCAAAUAGCUUAUAUAGAGUGUGGUGCUGAAGACACUAAGGAGGGAUUUCCUUUGGACA